AGUGAACGCUGGCGGUAGGCCUAACACAUGCAAGUCGAACGGCAGCACAGUAAGAGCUUGCUCUUACGGGUGGCGAGUGGCGGACGGGUGAGGAAUACAUCGGAAUCUACCUUUUCGUGGGGGAUAACGUAGGGAAACUUACGCUAAUACCGCAUACGACCUACGGGUGAAAGCAGGGGAUCUUCGGACCUUGCGCGAUUGAAUGAGCCGAUGUCGGAUUAGCUAGUUGGCGGGGUAAAGGCCCACCAAGGCGACGAUCCGUAGCUGGUCUGAGAGGAUGAUCAGCCACACUGGAACGGAGACACGGUCCAGACUCCUACGGGAGGCAGCAGUGGGGAAUAUUGGACAAUGGGCGCAAGCCUGAUCCAGCCAUACCGCGUGGGUGAAGAAGGCCUUCGGGUUGUAAAGCCCUUUUGUUGGGAAAGAAAAGCAGCAGGUUAAUACCCCGCUGUUCUGACGGUACCCAAAGAAUAAGCACCGGCUAACUUCGUG
rnacentral:rRNA from 1 species